UACGGAGGGUCAAGCGUUAUCCGGAUUCACUGGGUUUAAAGGGUGCGUAGGUGGGUUGGUAAGUCAGUGGUGAAAUCUCCGAGCUUAACUUGGAAACUGCCAUUGAUACUAUCAGUCUUGAAUAUUGUGGAGGUCAGCGGAAUAUGUCAUGUAGCGGUGAAAUGCUUAGAUAUGACAUAGAACACCAAUUGCGAAGGCAGCUGGCUACGCAUAUAUUGACACUGAGGCACUGAAAGCGUGGGGAUCAAACAGG
rnacentral:rRNA from 1 species